AUUUUUUCACGAUCAGCCGGGGAAUUAUUUUUAAUAUUCGAUUGGUGCCGGUUAAGUCUUUCUGGUGAUAAUGGAGUACCUGUUGCUGGAGUUGCUGUUGGUGCAAGUGGUUCUCCAGCCUGUAUAUCAUUAUUUCCAGUCCUCAAGUUGAUGUACUGAUGAGUCUGUUGUAUGCGGUAAUAAUGAUUGAUACAAGUCGUGAGAGCAGUCAGAGUCUGAGUAUAGUACAUCGACGUUUAUGUAUUACUACAGUUGUAAUAAAUAUAAUGUAACAAGAAGUAACGAGCAACAAGUUCCGUGUACAUCGUGUAAUGACGCAACAAGCAUAACCGACUUGUAUUAUUAUUGUAUAUAUUUAAUUUAUACACUUGAUAAUUUGACGAAUCAUCACUGAUUAUGCUCAUACUUAUCCAGUCUUUAUAUCAUUUAAUUUUUAAAUAUUUUAUUUAUUUAUUCUAACAUAAAAAAAAUCAUUUAAAUCCCGAUAAAUUAACGUACUAGGUCAAUUUUUUAUAUUAUCGUCAUUAAUUAUUUAUAGAUUCGUUGACUUGUCCGACGCCACGUAAUUUUUAUUUAACAUUAUAAGCAGUUACGUCUUAUCAUAUUUUACACACGAGUCUUGAUGAAAAAAAAUUUAAAAACAUCUAAAUAAUUAUUAUUUUUAAAUUUCAUUUUUCAGUCUAAUUCCGAUUAAGUAAAAUCUUGAUGUACUUUAAUAGAAAAAUUUACUGAAUUAUUUUAUAAUUGAGUAGUUUCAGUAAAUGGACGAUAUUUUUCUGAAAUAAAAAUUUACUAUCCAUUAAUCCAUAACAAUAUCGCGGUUAAUAUAAAACAGUAAAUCAACUUGAAGUAACUGAAUGCGACAGUGCUCGGAUGAAUUGCAUUGUAAAGUGUCUUAGAGUAAAUUUAAACAUGCAUGGGCUUUUAACAUAUUUAGAUUUCACUAUUGUGAUACCGAUAUGUCAUGUAAGUAGACUAGGUAGCCAGUGAUUUAAAAAUAUAUAAUUUGAAUUGAUAUUUUUAAAAAAAUUGUUGAUUCGCAUUCUGAAAAUAAUUCUAGAUCUUAAAGUAUUUAUUCAUGAGAUUUAAAUAAUUAAAGGGACUUACUCUGGAAGAGAAGAUAAAUUAUAGUAAGUCCUCGGCUGACUUUGAUGCUGUCCCUCAUCAGCAUCUCCAUACAAUUGGUCAUUAUUGAUGACCGUAUUAGCGACCGGGUGGCAAUGAUGAUCGGCACUGGUGAUCCUCGGGCCCAACUCUUCGAGGGAAAUGAAUUCUUGAGGUUCCUGGGCUGCGUGGAAGAGCUCAUUGUAGCUCUGGGCCAUGUCUUGGCCCACCAUUUCUCGAUUAUUGUCGUUGCAGCCGCGACAGUGCAGGAACUCGUCCAACUCCGACAGCUCGAUAUUACAUUCUUUUAUAUCUUUGCUAUUAAUAUCCUUUUUUAUAUCGAUAUCUAUGUCGCAGGGAUAGAGACGGUGAAUUUGGGACAGCUGGAGUGAUUUGCCUAUACCGGAACCCUGACUCUUCGCGACCACCAUCGGGUCCUCGAUGAGUCCACCAACUUCACCAUUUGCCAGUCUGCUUUCAUCUACAUCCGAUUUAAAUUAAAGCCUUUUUUUUUAAGGAAAAAAAAAAAUUUUGAUGAUUUGCAAGUCUGCAUUUAUUUGAAUUAUAUCCGCACGUGGAAAAAAAAAUAUUUAUGCUAAAAUAUAACGAAGACAAUCUUUGUAAUGCGGAUAUAAAGUUGAUGUGAGAGGCCGAGAUUUGCGCAACGUCCGAAGUGCACUUUGUCGCUGGGUUAUUAAAAACGUCUACAACUCUUCUAUCCGUAUAAUUAUCUAAUCUAAUAUAUAUGCCGCAGCUUAUCGAUAAAUACAGGCAUUUAUUUAAAAACAAAAAAUCUCAUAAAUAAAAAAAAAAAAAAGCAAAAAAAAAA